GAUGAACGCUGGCGGCGUGCCUAAUACAUGCCAGUCGAGCGAACGGACGAGAAGCUUGCUUCUCUGAUGUUAGCGGCGGACGGGUGAGUAACACGUGGAUAACCUACCUAUAAGACUGGGAUAACUACGGGAAACCGGAGCUAAUACCGGAUAAUAUUUUGAACCGCAUGGUUCAAAAGUGAAAGACGGUCUUGCUGUCACUUAUAGAUGGAUCCGCGCUGCAUUAGCUAGUUGGUAAGGUAACGGCUUACCAAGGCAACGAUGCAUAGCCGACCUGAGAGGGUGAUCGGCCACACUGGAACUGAGACACGGUCCAGACUCCUACGGGAGGCAGCAGUAGGGAAUCUUCCGCAAUGGGCGAAAGCCUGACGGAGCAACGCCGCGUGAGUGAUGAAGGUCUUCGGAUCGUAAAACUCUGUUAUUAGGGAAGAACAUAUGUGUAAGUAACUGUGCACAUCUUGACGGUACCUAAUCAGAAAGCCACGGCUAACUACGUG
rnacentral:rRNA from 1 species